GGCUCAGGAUGAACGCUGGCGGCGUGCUUAACACAUGCAAGUCGAACGGUGAAAGAGAGCUUGCUCUCUGGAUCAGUGGCGAACGGGUGAGUAACACGUGAGCAAUCUGCCCCUGACUCUGGGAUAAGCGCUGGAAACGGCGUCUAAUACCGGAUACGAGCUGCGAAGGCAUCUUCAGCAGCUGGAAAGAACUUCGGUCAGGGAUGAGCUCGCGGCCUAUCAGCUAGUUGGUGAGGUAAAGGCUCACCAAGGCGUCGACGGGUAGCCGGCCUGAGAGGGUGACCGGCCACACUGGGACUGAGACACGGCCCAGACUCCUACGGGAGGCAGCAGUGGGGAAUAUUGCACAAUGGGCGCAAGCCUGAUGCAGCAACGCCGCGUGAGGGACGACGGCCUUCGGGUUGUAAACCUCUUUUAGCAGGGAAGAAGCGAAAGUGACGGUA
rnacentral:rRNA from 1 species